rnacentral:tRNA from 1 species
GCCAAGGUAGCUCAGUUGGUAGAGCACGCGCCUGAAAAGCGCGGUGUCGCGCGUUCGAUUCGCGCCCUUGGCACCA